CUUCUUAGAGGGACAAGCGGGAGAAGCCGCACGAAAUAGAGCAAUAACAGGUCUGUGAUGCCCUUAGAUGUUCGGGGCCGCACGCGCGCUACAAUGACGGUGUCAACGAGUUAGACCUCCUGGCUCGAAAGGGUUGGGUAAACUGGUCAAUCACCGUCAUGACAGGGAUCGGGGCUUGGAAUUAUUCCCCGUGAACGAGGAAUUCCUAGUAAGUGCAAGUCAUAAGCUUGCGCUGAUUACGUCCCUGCCCUUUGUACACACCGCCCGUCGCUACUACCGAUUGAAUGGUUUAGUAAGGUCCUUGGAUUGAUGCCAUUGUGGUGGUGGUCGUGAGAUCGCUGCUCGGAGGUGUUGAGAAGAAGACCAAACUUGAUCAUUUAGAGGAAGUAAAAGU
rnacentral:rRNA from 1 species